UCUCCCAUCACUUGAUCACCAUAAUAACUCCAUUGCCCGGAUAAUGGCCGAACCCUGUUCCAACGGCUCCAAAACGUACCUUUCUCCACUUCUCCUCUGAUAAAGAUGAGUCCCAUCGUCCCCUUUUCAGGAGUCACCUUUUGGAACUCUCAGAAGGUCCAGCCUUUCCUCCCCUCUUUUGGCUUUCAAAUUUCAAAAUCUCACUUCUUGAGGAAUCUAUUGAGCUAUAAAUAGAGCCCUUUAGGUUGUGUUUUAGGGAGGUCAACAAUUGGAAAGAAUUCCCCUUUUUACGCAAGUUCACAACUAGAGAAAAUCUCUCUUUACUCUUAAGAUUUUCAUUCUCAUAAAAAUCCCUUUUUACUCUAGUCUUGGAUUUCCAUAAAAUCUCUUUAUUGCUUUAAGUUCUUGGCUAAGCAAAUCUACGAAAAUACUUAAGUUUCAUUCUUUUACUAGCCGCAACAACAAAAAACUACUUCAAGCGGAUUUGAGGACUUGAUGACGACAAUAGCCUCAGUUCGCUGCCCCAAGCAGAUAAUCACACUCGUCUUCUCUUCGUCUUUAAUUUUGUAAAAGUAGAAAUGUAACGAGUUCGUUCUUCGCUUGUUGCGAGUUAGUGAGAAAAGACUAAUCACACUUAGAAGAAUUAGUGUUUAGUUUAGUCACUUGGCUAAUUUUCUAUUUUUGUUAUUUGUUAAAAUCUGGGAUGUUUCUAUGUUUAGCAUAAAUCACUAUGAUUGAUAGAAACUAUGAAUUUAAGUAAAAGAGGAGAUCAACCGAUUUGUGAGUAUAUGAUGAUAGGAGCAAGGCAUAUGUACAUUUAUUAUUUGUUUGUUGUUGUUUUCUCGUAUGUUCGAAUAAAUGUCUAAAGAGUUCUGCUUCUUUUACUCUAGUAUUUAUUAUGUAUCAUGUUAAAGUGACGGGAAAAUAGGUUUGAAUGUACUGUGAACUGGAAUUCGAGGAUAUUAAGAUGCCAUGUCAUCGUCCUUAAAUAUAAAACUGGUUGAAAUGUUCCUUUUAUGGGGGCUGUUGGUUGCUGCUAUUAUGUGCUUGAGAUUUUUAUUUUGGAUCCCGUGUCUUUAGGCUUCAGAGAUUGGGAAAUGACAUUAUUUUGUUCUGUCAAAAAUUCUGCUUCCCUUUUACUAACACUUAGUUUGAUAUUGAAUCCCAAAAGCUAUAAAAAAACAUAUUGAUGUUAAGUUCAUUCAUAUCUUUCUCUCAAAAGGUUGUAACUAGCUAAGUUGUCAGGCUUCAAAUCUUGAAAGAAUUCUUAACUAAACCCGUCUCUAGAAGGGAUAAUAAGGGUCCUGUUUGCUUGUUGAAUUUUGAUAAAGUGAAGAAGCUAGGAUGAAUUGGAGAAAUAGUGGAUUACUAUGUUUUCAUGAUUGCUAAGUAUAUGUUUGAUCUAAUGGCUGUCUCUGCUGUUUGUGUGAUUAAUAUCAUGUCUAGAAAAACCUCUCUUCCCUAUAAAUCGCAGUAUAUGUUGGUUCUAAAAUAAGAAAGUAGAACUGCUAAAUUUUCAUGAAGUGUCAUAGGUGGUAUGGUCGUGUUCUUCAGAAAAUCCUUCUUCAUAAAAUACGCGCAAAGUCUUCAACGUGUGCAACUUGUCACAGUUUGAUGUAAACGCCGUGUGCAUUAAUUUGUCAUGGCUUUACUAUAAUGUUUGUCAGCUUUUAAACUUAUACUUUGAGACUUAUCAAAAAUUGAAGUGAAAGAUCCUCAUCGGAAGCUUGAGUUGAGUUUGAUUAAGAUCAGUUAUGAGGUUUAAGUCAAGUCAGGUAAUUUGUUCAAGAACUUUGGAAACUAAAAGGUGUAUCUGUGGACUUGAGGUCCCCUAUUGAGAUGAAUUAAUUCACUGAAGCAUAUGUGUUACCUUCUUAGUAAUUUAUUUGUGAAAAUAAAUGCUAGCUAGCUUCUCUAGUGGUUUUUUUUAUUUCUUAAAUCUUAUGCAUUGUCAUUGUGUCAAGUAGUCAUCGAAGUCUUAAAAGAAGCAUGUAAUCUGCUAAAUAACCCAUAUAAUGGACUGCUGUAUUUGGUCAUAAUUAAAGGCCUGAAUCUUCCUCGUGGUAAAUAUGGGGUGUGUUUGUUUUUUUAUCAUUCUAGUUUUCUUGGGUCAAUUAUCUUAUUUGCUGUUUUGUAUACUCUUUUAGAAGUGAAUAGCAAUCUGUUUGGACAGUUUGGUUAUCAUGUAUAGAGUUCUCCUCGGAAUACAUUAAAGUAGCUUGGUCUCAAGACAGUGUGAUUUUUAUUAGGGAAAAGGGUCAAAAAUACCCCUCUACUUUGGAAAAAGGGCUAAACAUAUCCUCUGAACUUAUUUUGGGUCAAAAAUACCCCCAAUAUGUAGGUUUGAAGUUUGAGGGAAUUGGGGGAAUAAGGGGAUCUUAUGGAUUAUUAUUUAGUUGUGUCAGGUUUAAAUGAUGAAGCGGGUUUAAAAAAAAAAAAUUGGGUUAUUUUGGGGGAUAAUUUCCGUCAAGACGGGUAGAUUUGAAAACUUUAAGGAUGAGAGGGAUAUUUUUGACCCAAAAUAAGUUCGGAGGAUAUUUUUAGCCCUUUUUCCAAAGUAGAGGGGUAUUUUUGACCCUUUUCCCUUUUUAUUAUCUAGUCCUGCUACUUAUUUGUUUUUAAAAUGACUCUAAUCCUUAUCCUUUUCUUCCUUUAUUUUUCAUGAACACCUUGGGAGCAAAUGGGGUUGUAUUUAAAAACCCUUGCUGCUGCGAGAAGUCUCAGUUUGGGACUUCAUUUGUUGCUGAGCAUUCUUCUGCACUUCGCUACAAAUAGCUGCCUGCUUUAAGGCAAUAUCUUGCUAAAUAUAGUUGUUGCCUUGUGGAAAUCUCUGUUGCUUUUUGAGCCAAGUUUCUACGGUAUUUUGAGUUGACUCGUUAUAUUUUGAGCGUAAUUCCUGCUACGUCUUGAGCUGAAUUGCUGCUGCAUAUGGGUGCAAUCUACUGCUGUACUGGUUGCCAUUCUUGAGGCAAAACACUGCUGCAUUUUUGGGCCACUUUGCUGCUGAUUUUGGACCAUGAGCGGCUGAAUUUUUGGUUGUUUACAGCUGCAUUUUUGGGCUGUGUUUUUUGGCCAAAUUGCUGCCAUCUUUAAAGCUCUAAACCUGUUGUUAGUUGGCCGCUGCUUAGUGCCAUUUGAGAUUGAUAACAGAUGCAUUUUGAAAAGGUCGGCUGGUGUAUCUUUGAGGAAAAUAACUGCUGCAUUACUUGACUCGAGCUGCCACCUUUGUUAAGGAAAAACGAACAGAUGCUACACUUGACAAAUGGUUGUUGCCAUAUUUUUGACAAGUUCCUGCUCCUCUGUCAAAAGAACAAAUUGAUAUACUUGGGAAAAGUUUACUGAUUCGAUCAUGAUACUACACUAAGGCCGAUGAAAUCAAAUUUGAGGCCACGCCCCUUCGGAAUUGGUUGUCCCUCGUUUUAGUCCCUUCGGUAAAAGGCGAUGACGAAAAAGAUCUAGAUGAUGAUGGUAAGACAAAGAAAUUCAUGAACAUGUAUCUUGGCGAGGAAACUAGGAUUGUUGGCGAGCAACUGGAUUGCAGUCAUGGCGUGUCGGAUUUUCUUUCGUCUGAAUACCAAAUACAGAUCCCCAAGCCUCCGUAACUAAAAUUCUUAAUGUUGUUAUGAAUCCGAAAAGGAUUUUAUUUGUGUUUACUUCUAAAAUGCCACACUAUGAGGUGGCAUGUAUUUUACUAACAUUUUCCUUUCAUAUUUUGCGAGGUACAAAUAAUGCGAGGCAGUAGAGCAAAUACGUACCAAAAGUUGAAGCGAAGAAAUUUGGAAGCACUGUAUGUUUGGCCGAAGAACUAGAAAAGGGGAAAAUAGGGCUCAAUUGAACCCGAAGCUUGCCAAUUUAAUAUUUCGCGAUCAGCUUGAUUUAAUUUCACAUUAUUAGUAGUGUUGAGUUAAUGGUGGGUCUAAACUAUAACGAAUCAAUUCUCGAGCAAACAAAUGGUUUUCUAUUAUUGUGGCCCAAAUAAUUGGCCCAAAGGUAUUCUUGAAAGCAAGAUAAAAGGAUAAGAUGUCCGGAGAUAAUGGAGCAAAACGGAGCAAAAUGGCGCAAAAUAGAGCAAAAAUAGAACAAGCAGCACUUUCUGGCAGCAUGUUGUGCAUGCGAGUAGCACUUGUUGCAACAUGUUGUGCCUGCGAGUAGCAUUUGUUGCAGCAUGUGCUGCACGCAGGGCAUUUUUGUCCACAAUUUGUUCUCGUUUUGGAAUGUUAUAUUCUCUUUUAGGGCAGGGCAUUUUUGUCCACAAUUUGUUCUCGUUUUGGAAUGUUAUAUUCUCUUUUAGGGUUUGUAAAACAUUAUCUUUGGCCAUUCAACACAAGCUUUGGAGCUAGGGUUUUACACCACGCCUUUGGAGGAGAAGAUUGAAGCUCGUUAAUGAUAAAUUUCUCAACUCUUUCUUCAAUUUCUUGCUUUGUAUUGCUUAUUUAAGGGUGUUGUAUUUUAUUCCAUAACUUUAAUCUUGUUUAUGAAAAUAUUCAUUUACAAAGUUGGAUGAAAUUUCUUGUUAUGCUUA